rnacentral:rRNA from 1 species
UACGUAGGGGGGCGAGCGUUGUCCGAAGUUACUGGGCGUAAAGCGCGCGUAGGCGGGAAAUUAAGUGAGAAGUGAAAGGCUGGGGCUCAACCUCAUGCAGUGCUUCUCAUACUGGUUUUUCUUGAGGGCGGUAGAGAAAAGUGGAAUGGCUGGUGUAGCGGUGAAAUGCGUAGAUAUCAGUCGGAACACCGGUGGCGAAGGCGGGUCUCUGGGCAGUAACUGACGCUGAGGAGCGAAAGCGUGGGGAGCGAACAGG